GCCUUGGCCCAGCCCCGCAUCCUCCCCGACCGUGCUCGAUCCAGCCCGGGUGUGCUGCACCCGAAACAGGCUCCCGGGGGCCGUCGGGCCUGUGGGUGACCGUGCAGGCCAGGAUCUCAGGGACGGAGAGCGCGCUCGGGAUGUCCAGCACUCAGCGCGGGUUGGGUGGCGAAUGGAGAGCGAGUCGUCCUCAGAGGCCGCCGGCCUGCAGGCGAGAACCCUCCCAGCCAGGAGGCUGCGGCUCUGCCUGAACCCCGACCCAGGGCGAACACCCACAUUUGGCC
rnacentral:lncRNA from 10 species